AGCUUUGCGCAGUGGCAGUAUCGUAGCCAAUGAGGUUUAUCCGAGGCACAAUUAUUGCUAAUUAAAAAUAUGUUCACAUAUAUUAAUUACACAAAUAUACUCUGGAUUUUGAGGUGAGAGAAACCUAUGGCAUGUACUACUAUCCUUGUAU
ensembl:snRNA U4 U4 spliceosomal RNA